UACGAAGGGGGCGAGCGUUGUUCGGAAUUACUGGGCGUAAAGGGCGCGCAGGCGGCCCUAGCAGUCAGGUGUGAAAGCCCCGGGCUCAACCUGGGAAUAGCACUUGAUACUCUAGGGCUGGAGUACGGGAGAGGAGAGUGGAAUUCCCAGUGUAGAGGUGAAAUUCGUAGAUAUUGGGAAGAACACCAGUGGCGAAGGCGGCUCUCUGGACCGUAACUGACGCUGAGGCGCGAAAGCGUGGGGAGCAAACAGG
rnacentral:rRNA from 1 species